UACGGGGGGGGCAAGCGUUGUUCGGAAUUACUGGGCGUAAAGGGCGCGUAGGCGGCCUACUAAGUCGGACGUGAAAUCCCUCGGCUCAACCGAGGAACUGCGUCCGAUACUGGCAGGCUGGAAUCCGGGAGAGGGAUGUGGAAUUCCAGGUGUAGCGGUGAAAUGCGUAGAUAUCUGGAGGAACACCGGUGGCGAAGGCGGCAUCCUGGACCGGUACUGACGCUGAGGCGCGAAAGCGUGGGUAGCAAACAGG
rnacentral:rRNA from 1 species